UACGAAGGGGGCGAGCGUUGUUCGGAUUUACUGGGCGUAAAGGGCGCGUAGGCGGCCUCGCAAGUCGAGUGUGAAAUCCCCGGGCUCAACCUGGGAAUGGCGAUGGUGACUGCAAGGCUAGAGUUUGGCAGAGGGGGGUAGAAUUCCACGUGUAGCAGUGAAAUGCGUAGAUAUGUGGAGGAACACCGAUGGCGAAGGCAGCCCCCUGGGUCAAAACUGACGCUCAUGCACGAAAGCGUGGGGAGCAAACAGG
rnacentral:rRNA from 1 species